UACGUAGGGCGCAAGCGUUGUCCGGAAUUAUUGGGCGUAAAGAGCUCGUAGGCGGCUUGUCACGUCGGUUGUGAAAGCCCGGGGCUUAACCCCGGGUCUGCAGUCGAUACGGGCAGGCUAGAGUGUGGUAGGGGAGAUCGGAAUUCCUGGUGUAGCGGUGAAAUGCGCAGAUAUCAGGAGGAACACCGGUGGCGAAGGCGGAUCUCUGGGCCAUUAUUGACGCUGAGGAGCGAAAGCGUGGGGAGCGAACAGG
rnacentral:rRNA from 1 species